UCAUGCCUUGCAGAGACCCAAAAGGGCCACACUGUGGUGCCAGAUCUUAAGCAAAAACACUGGAGAAAAUUUACUUUUUCACUGGGAAGC